rnacentral:rRNA from 1 species
AGAGUUUGAUCCUGGCUCAGGACGAACGCUGGCGGCGUGCCUAAUACAUGCAAGUAGAACGCUGAGAACUGGUGCUUGCACCGGUUCAAGGAGUUGCGAACGGGUGAGUAACGCGUAGGUAACCUACCUCAUAGCGGGGGAUAACUAUUGGAAACGAUAGCUAAUACCGCAUAAGAGAGACUAACGCAUGUUAGUAAUUUAAAAGGGGCAAUUGCUCCACUAUGAGAUGGACCUGCGUUGUAUUAGCUAGUUGGUGAGGUAAAGGCUCACCAAGGCGACGAUACAUAGCCGACCUGAGAGGGUGAUCGGCCACACUGGGACUGAGACACGGCCCAGACUCCUACGGGAGGCAGCAGUAGGGAAUCUUCGGCAAUGGGGGCAACCCUGACCGAGCAACGCCGCGUGAGUGAAGAAGGUUUUCGGAUCGUAAAGCUCUGUUGUUAGAGAAGAAUGAUGGUGGGAGUGGAAAAUCCACCAAGUGACGGUAACUAACCAGAAAGGGACGGCUAACUACGUGCCAGCAGCCGCGGUAAUACGUAGGUCCCGAGCGUUGUCCGGAUUUAUUGGGCGUAAAGCGAGCGCAGGCGGUUUUUUAAGUCUGAAGUUAAAGGCAUUGGCUCAACCAAUGUACGCUUUGGAAACUGGAGAACUUGAGUGCAGAAGGGGAGAGUGGAAUUCCAUGUGUAGCGGUGAAAUGCGUAGAUAUAUGGAGGAACACCGGUGGCGAAAGCGGCUCUCUGGUCUGUAACUGACGCUGAGGCUCGAAAGCGUGGGGAGCAAACAGGAUUAGAUACCCUGGUAGUCCACGCCGUAAACGAUGAGUGCUAGGUGUUAGGCCCUUUCCGGGGCUUAGUGCCGGAGCUAACGCAUUAAGCACUCCGCCUGGGGAGUACGACCGCAAGGUUGAAACUCAAAGGAAUUGACGGGGGCCCGCACAAGCGGUGGAGCAUGUGG